AACGCGAAGAACCUUACCAGGUCUUGACAUCCUCUGACAAUCCUAGAGAUAGGACUUUCCCCUUCGGGGGACAGAGUGACAGGUGGUGCAUGGUUGUCGUCAGCUCGUGUCGUGAGAUGUUGGGUUAAGUCCCGCAACGAGCGCAACCCUUAUUCUUAGUUGCCAGCAUUAAGUUGGGCACUCUAAGGAGACUGCCGGUGACAAACCGGAGGAAGGUGGGGAUGACGUCAAAUCAUCAUGCCCCUUAUGACCUGGGCUACACACGUGCUACAAUGGAUGGUACAAAGGGCUGCAAAACCGUGAGGUCAAGCCAAUCCCAUAAAACCAUUCUCAGUUCGGAUUGUAGGCUGCAACUCGCCUACAUGAAGCCGGAAUCGCUAGUAAUCGUGGAUCAGCAUGCCACGGUGAAUACGUUCCCGGGCCUUGUA
rnacentral:rRNA from 1 species